AACGGGGAGCAGAAACCGGCCUGGGUCAGCCAGUGGACUGGUUGGAAGCAGAGAACUGAAAGAAAACCAACACCCUAGUGAGGCCAAGGGAGAUUUUAAAGGCUGAAGCAGAAGGAUCUCAAGUUCAAGCCAGAUUCCUUAGGGAGCAUUUGCCUCCAUAAAAUAACCCUAACUGUUGUCAAGUGACAGUGAACUCCAGUGACCAUCAGACAAGGGUAAGCGUAGUCCUCACCCCUCAUCAAGGAAACUUCCCUUGGCAACUGACAUCGAUCAUUACAGAAAACUGCAACCAAUCAAAUUGCAGUUGUACAGCCCAAUCCCAGCAGAUACAGCUACAAAACAACUCUUGCAACUAAGCUCAGGGAUCGUUGUGAAGGAGAGAACGGGAAGAUUGUAAGAUCCAGGGAAUCAAGGAAUUUGCUAUGAGACAGUGUCUCCCAGAAGCUGCACAUCCAUGAAGUCUCUCCAAUAUAGCUGCCUAAAUGUGACCUGAGUAAUGACACCAGUCGCCAUGUUAACACGGAUGAGGGAAAGCCAGGGAGGCUACACCCCCACCUGCAGCCAACUAAGAAAUGCUGGGAUUGGGAAAAAUUGUCUUCCCCUAGGAAGAGCACUGCAGUUGUUAUCCCAUACCACGUGGUCAGCACUGAAAACAUAUAUAUACAACUAAUAUCAUACAGGCUGAGCCAAUUGCAUUUACACAUUUAGGAAUAUACAUAUACACUUUCAUGUGUGUAAUAACAACCAAAUUUUGUUUUGUUUUGUUUUUAAAAAGCUCAUGAAUUUGAAAGAAAACAAUGGGAAGGAUAUAUGAGAGGGUUUGGAGAGAGGAAAGGGAAGGGGGAAAUGAUGUAAUUAUAUUAUAAUCUCAAAAAAAAAAAAAAAAAACGUGGGCUGGUGAGAUGGCUCAACGGGUAAAAGCACCAACUGCUCUUCUGAAGGUCAUGAGUUCAGAUCCCAGCAAACCAUAUAGUGGCUCACAACCACCCGUAACAAGAUCUGACGCCCUCUUCUGGUGUGUCUGAAGACAGCCACAGUGUAUUUACAUGUAAUAAAUAAAUAAAUCUUUUUAAAAAAGUAACAUGAAAUAACACAAACAGCUCUCAUCAAGAAGAUGAGAAGGGCCUCAAAGCUGAGAGUCAACCCAGGGAUUCUGGGUGGGAUUUUAAAAAUUUACUUAUAUGUAGUUUUUACAGUCCAGCCUGUCUCCCCCUUCCCCCAUACCUGAUCCUGCCCUGCUUUCCCCUCCUCCUCCCCUCUCCCACCCAGCUCCAUCCCUCCCUCUGCCUCCCAUGAUUAUUUUCUUCUCCCUUUCUAAGUGGGAUUGAAGCCUCCUCACUAGAGCCCUUCUGCUUGUUAACCUUCUUGCAGUCUGUGGGAUGUAGCCUAGAUGUUCUGUACUUUUGGGCUAAUAUCCACUUAUAGUGAGUAGCUACCAUACGUGUACUUUUGGGUCUGGGUUACCUCACUCAGGAUGAUAUUUUCUGCUUCCAUCCAUUUGCCUGCAAAAGUCAUGAUGUCCUUGUUUUUAAUAGCUGAGUGGUAUUCCAUUGUGUAAAUGAACCACAUUUUCUGUAUCCAUUCUUCAGUUGAAGGACAUCUGGGUUGUUUACAGCUUCUGGCUAUUGCAAAUAAGGCUGCUAUGAACAUAGUGGAGCAAGUGUCCUUGUGGUAUGGUGGGCAUCUUUUGGGUAUAUGGCUGUACUGGCUAGUUUUGUGUCAACUUGACACAGCUGGAGUUAUCACAGAAAAAGGAGCUUCAGUUGAGGAAAUGCCUCCAUGAGAUCCAACUGUAAGGCAUUUUCUCAAUUAGUGAUCAAGGGAGAAAGGGCCCUUGUGGGUGGGACGAUCUCUGGGCUGGUAAUCUUGGUUCUAUAAGAGAGCAGGCUGAGCAAGCCAGGGGAAGUCAGCCAGUAAGGAACAUCCCUCCAAUGGCUUCUGCAUCAGCUCCUGCUUCCUGACCUGCUUGAGUUCCAGUCCUGACUUCCUUGGUGAUGAACAGCAGUAUGGAAAUGUAAACUGAAUAAACCCUUUCCCCCCCAAUUUGCUUCUUGGCCAAGAUGUUUGUGCAGGAAUAGAAAUCCUGACUAAGACAAUGGCCAAGAGUGGUAUAGCUGGGUCUUCAUGUAGAACUACUUCCAACUUUCUGAGUAACCUCCAGAUUGAUUUCCAGAGUGGUUGUACCAGCUUGCAAUCCGACCAGCAAAGGAAGAGCGUUCCUCCUUCACAUCCUCGCCAGCAUGUGCUGUCACUUGAGUUUUUGAUCUUAGCCAUUCUGAAGUUUUCCAGUUUCAUGAAGUCCCAUUUAUCAAUUCUUGAUCUUAGAGCCUGAGCCAUUGGAGUUCUGAUCAGGAAAUGUUCCCUUGUGCCAAGGAGUUCAAGGCUCUUUCCCACCUUUUCUUCUAUUGGAUUCAGUGUAUCUGGUUUUGUGUUGAGGUCCUUGAUCCACUUGUGUUGGGAGCCGCGCCCACAUUCGCCGUUACAAGAUGGCGCUGACAUCCUGUGUUCUAAGUGGUAAACAAAUAAUCUGCGCAUGUGCCAAGGGUUUUUAUGACUACUUGUGCUCUGCCUUCCCCGUGACGUCAACUCGGCCGAUGGGCUGCAGCCAAUCAGGGAGUGACACGUCCUAGGCGAAAUAUAACUCUCCUAAAAAAGGGACGGGGUUUCGUUUUCUCUCUCUCUUGCUUCUUGCACUCCUGCUCCUGAAGAUGUAAGCAAUAAAGUUUUGCCGCAGAAGAUUUUGGUCUGUGGUGUUCUUCCUGGCCGGUCGUGAGAACGCGUCUAAUAACAAUUGGUGCCGAAUUCCGGGACGAGAAAAAACUCGGGACUGGCGCAAGGAAGAUCCCUCAUUCCAGAACCAGAACUGCGGGUCGCGGUAAUAAAGGUUCCCGUAAAGCAGACUGUUAAGAAGGAUUCAACUGUAUGAAUUCAGAACUUUUCAGCUGGGGAACGAGAGUACCAGUGAGUACAGCUUUACGAGGUAAGUCUGGUCUUGAACUUUCUAAGGAAAUUCAAGACAGUCUAUCAGAAGUAAAGUGGAAUAUGUUUGGCCUUGAAUUUUUUUCUGGUGUUAGGAGCCCUUUUGUUCCUUUUCACAUGUUAUCAAGUGAUUAAGAUAGGGCUGAAAAUUCUAGAGGAAAUUCAGGACAAGCUAUCAGAAGUAAAGCGGGGAGAGAGAGUAGGAACAAAGAGGAAAUAUGGUACACAAAAUAAGUAUACAGGCCUUUCCAAGGGUCUUGAACCCGAGGAAAAGUUAAGGUUAGGUAGGAAUACCUGGAGAGAGAUUAGAAGAAAAAGAGGAAAAAGGGAAAAGAAGAAAGAUCAAUUAGCGGAGGUCUCUAGGAAAAGGAGCCUGUGCUCAUCGCUGGAUGGGCUCGGGGAGCCAGCUCUUAGUAGCUCUGAAGCAGAUGAAGAAUUCUCCUCUGAAGAAACAGACUGGGAGGAAGAAGCAGCUCAUUAUGAGAAAAAAGGGUACCAGCCAGGUAAAGUGCUAGCUAAUCAGUUAAGGAAGCCAAAAGCGGCUGGCGAAGGCCAGUUUGCUGAUUGGCCUCAGGGCAGUCGGCUUCAAGGUCCGCCCUAUGUGGAGUCCCCGCCCUGCGUAGUGCGUCAGCCCUGCGCAGAGAGGCAGUGCGCAGACUCAUUCAUUCCCAGAGAGGAACAAAGGAAAAUACAAAAGGCAUAUCCUUUUCUACUUAAAACUUUAAGUCAGUGGGGUUUACAGAUAGCCACAGAAAAGGUCCAAAUUUCUGAUACAGGACAAUUCUUGGGCUCUGUGGUGUCCCCAGAUAAGAUUGUGCCCCAAAAGGUAGAGAGAAGAAGAGAUCACCUCCAUACCUUAAAUGAUUUUCAAAAGCUGUUGGGAGAUAUUAAUUGGCUCAGACCUUUUUUAAAGAUUCCUUCCGCUGAGUUAAGGCCUUUGUUUGGUAUUUUAGAAGGAGAUCCUCAUAUCUCCUCCCCUAGGACUCUUACUCUAGCUGCUAACCAGGCCUUACAAAAGGUGGAAAAAGCCUUACAGAAUGCACAAUUACAACGUAUUGAGGAUUCGCAGCCUUUCAGUUUGUGUGUCUUUAAGACAGCACAAUUGCCAACCGCAGUUUUGUGGCAGAAUGGGCCAUUGUUGUGGAUCCAUCCAAACGUAUCCCCAGCUAAAAUAAUAGAUUGGUAUCCUGAUGCAAUUGCACAGCUUGCCCUUAAAGGCCUAAAAGCAGCAAUCACCCACUUUGGGCAAAGUCCAUAUCUUUUAAUUGUACCUUAUACCGCUGCACAGGUUCAAACCUUGGCAGCCACAUCUAAUGAUUGGGCAGUUUUAGUUACCUCCUUUUCAGGAAAAAUAGAUAACCAUUAUCCAAAACAUCCAAUCUUACAGUUUGCCCAAAAUCAAUCUGUUGUUUUUCCACAAAUAACAGUAAGAAACCCACUUAAAAAUGGGAUUGUGGUAUAUACUGAUGGAUCAAAAACUGGCAUAGGUGCCUAUGUGGCUAAUGGUAAAGUGGUAUCCAAACAAUAUAAUGAAAAUUCACCUCAAGUGGUAAAAUGUUUAGUGGUUUUAGAAGUUUUAAAAACCUUUUUAGAACCCCUUAAUAUUGUGUCAGAUUCCUGUUAUGUGGUUAAUGCAGUAAAUCUUUUAGAAGUGGCUGGAGUGAUUAAGCCUUCCAGUAGAGUUGCCAAUAUUUUUCAGCAAAUACAAUUAGUUUUGUUAUCUAGAAGAUUUCCUGUUUAUAUUACUCAUGUUAGAGCCCAUUCAGGCCUACCUGGCCCCAUGGCUCUGGGAAAUGAUUUGGCAGAUAAGGCCACUAAAGUGGUGGCUGCUGCCCUAUCAUCCCCGGUAGAGGCUGCAAGAAAUUUUCAUAACAAUUUUCAUGUGACGGCUGAAACAUUACGCAGUCGUUUCUCCUUGACAAGAAAAGAAGCCCGUGACAUUGUUACUCAAUGUCAAAGCUGCUGUGAGUUCUUGCCAGUUCCUCAUGUGGGAAUUAACCCACGCGGUAUUCGACCUCUACAGGUCUGGCAAAUGGAUGUUACACAUGUUUCUUCCUUUGGAAAACUUCAAUAUCUCCAUGUGUCCAUUGACACAUGUUCUGGCAUCAUGUUUGCUUCUCCGUUAACCGGAGAAAAAGCCUCACAUGUGAUUCAACAUUGUCUUGAGGCAUGGAGUGCUUGGGGGAAACCCAGACUCCUUAAGACUGAUAAUGGACCAGCUUAUACGUCUCAAAAAUUCCAGCAGUUCUGCCGUCAGAUGGACGUGACCCACCUGACUGGACUUCCAUACAACCCUCAAGGACAGGGUAUUGUUGAGCGUGCGCAUCGCACCCUCAAAGCCUAUCUUAUAAAACAGAAGAGGGGAAUUGAAGAGAUUUUACCCCGAGCACCAAGAGUGUCGGUGUCUUUGGCACUCUUUACACUCAAUUUUUUAAAUAUUGAUGCUCAUGGCCAUACUGCGGCUGAACGUCAUUGUUCAGAGCCAGAUAGGCCCAAUGAGAUGGUUAAAUGGAAAAAUGUCCUUGAUAAUAAAUGGUAUGGCCCGGAUCCUAUUUUGAUAAGAUCCAGGGGAGCUAUCUGUGUUUUCCCACAGAAUGAAGACAACCCAUUUUGGAUACCAGAAAGACUCACCCGAAAAAUCCAGACUGACCAAGGGAAUACUGAUGUCCAUCGUCUUGGUGAUGUCCAGGGCGUCAAUAAUAAAGAGAGAGCAGCGUUGGGGGAUAAUGUCGACAUUUCCACUCCCAAUGACGGUGAUGUAUAAUGCUCAAGUAUUCUCCUGCCUUUUUACACUAACUAGGAACUGGGUUUAGCCUUGAUUCAGACAGCCUUGGCUCUGUCUGGACAGGUCCAGACAACUGACACCAUUAACACUUUGUCAGCCUCAGUGACUACAGUCAUAGAUGAACAGGCCUCAGCUAAUGUCAAGAUACAGAGAGGUCUCAUGCUGGUUAAUCAACUCAUAGAUCUUGUCCAGAUACAACUAGAUGUAUUAUGACAAAUAACUCAGCAGGGAUGUGAACAAAAGUUUCCGGGAUUGUGUGUUAUUUCCAUUCAGUAUGUUAAAUUUACUAGGGCAGCUAAUUUGUCAAAAAGUCUUUUUCAGUAUAUGUUACAGAAUUGGAUGGCUGAAUUUGAACAGAUCCUUCGGGAAUUGAGACUUCAGGUCAACUCCACGCGCUUGGACCUGUCCCUGACCAAAGGAUUACCCAAUUGGAUCUCCUCAGCAUUUUCUUUCUUUAAAAAAUGGGUGGGAUUAAUAUUAUUUGGAGAUACACUUUGCUGUGGAUUAGUGUUGCUUCUUUGAUUGGUCUGUAAGCUUAAGGCCCAAACUAGGAGAGACAAGGUGGUUAUUGCCCAGGCGCUUGCAGGACUAGAACAUGGAGCUCCCCCUGAUAUAUGGUUAUCUAUGCUUAGGCAAUAGGUCGCUGGCCACUCAGCUCUUACAUCUCACGAGGCUAGACUCAUUGCACGGGAUAGAGUGAGUGUGCUUCAGCAGCCCGAGAGAGUUGCACGGCUAAGCACUGCAAUAGAAAGGCUCUGCGGCAUAUAUGAGCCUAUUCUAGGGAGACAUGUCAUCUUUCAAGAAGGUUGAGUGUCCAAGUGUCCUUCUCUCCAGGCAAAACGACACGGGAGCAGGUCAGGGUUGCUCUGGGUAAAAGCCUGUGAGCCUAAGAGCUAAUCCUGUACAUGGCUCCUUUACCUACACACUGGGGAUUUGACCUCUAUCUCCACUCUCAUUAAUAUGGGUGGCCUAUUUGCUCUUAUUAAAAGGAAAGGGGGAGAUGUUGGGAGCCGCGCCCACAUUCGCCGUUACAAGAUGGCGCUGACAUCCUGUGUUCUAAGUGGUAAACAAAUAAUCUGCGCAUGUGCCAAGGGUUUUUAUGACUACUUGUGCUCUGCCUUCCCCGUGACGUCAACUCGGCCGAUGGGCUGCAGCCAAUCAGGGAGUGACACGUCCUAGGCGAAAUAUAACUCUCCUAAAAAAGGGACGGGGUUUCGUUUUCUCUCUCUCUUGCUUCUUGCACUCCUGCUCCUGAAGAUGUAAGCAAUAAAGUUUUGCCGCAGAAGA